rnacentral:lncRNA from 1 species
UUUUUCAGUUGUAUUAGCCCUAACUCAUCACUGAAAAGGUUACAAGCUACUCACCCAUACUUUGUCCCAGCUGCUCUAGGAGGAAGAGCAAUUAGCCAGAUUUUGUAAAAGGAUACUUGACCGUUUAGGGGAAGAUCUUCUGUCGGUUACUUCCACAGAAAUAACCUGUUAAAGCAUUGGUCCCUCCCAAGUCAUGUAGAAUGGGAAGUACAGGAUAGCCCAGUGACAAAGAGAUGCUCAAAGAAAGGAUCCUGCAGGGAUGUGGCUGCAAGAGGACAUCUAAUAUACAGAUGGAAAGGGAGGCUACAGGACACAGAGCAAAGGGAGAAGGUACAGAAAAGGGAGCAGAUUCUGACAGAGUAAUCAGAAGCAUUUGCUGGCUCAACAUCUUCAGACGUUUCCCAGCCGUGGGAGGAAAUGGUGAUAUAAGCAACUGCCUAACUGUUGACUCAACUGAGGAUUACUAAUUCCAAUAGCUAGUUAACAAAUCAGCCUACACUCCAGGGAGAAGAUGCACACAAACACAAAGUGGCCCAUGGCAGUUACCUGGAGAGGACAUGCCCUCCCCUCCACAACUGGGCAUGGACGCAGUUGCAGGCAGCUGCUGCGAAACCAAAUCCUUUUGUGAUGAAUAACAGCUCUGGAGCUCACCAGGCAUCUGACUAUGACUGGUGUAGGGAUUGCUGAGG